rnacentral:rRNA from 1 species
GAUGAACGCUGGCGGCGUGCCUAAUACAUGCAAGUCGAGCGAACAGACGAGGAGCUUGCUCCUCUGACGUUAGCGGCGGACGGGUGAGUAACACGUGGAUAACCUACCUAUAAGACUGGGAUAACUUCGGGAAACCGGAGCUAAUACCGGAUAAUAUAUUGAACCGCAUGGUUCAAUAGUGAAAGACGGUUUUGCUGUCACUUAUAGAUGGAUCCGCGCCGCAUUAGCUAGUUGGUAAGGUAACGGCUUACCAAGGCAACGAUGCGUAGCCGACCUGAGAGGGUGGUCGGCCACCUGGGAGCGGAGCCACGGUCAAGACGCCUACGGGAGGCAGCAGUAGGGAAUGUGACGCAAUGGGCGAAAGCCUGACGGAGCGACGCCGCGUCAGAGAUAAAAGUGUUGGGAGCGUAAAACUCUGUUAUUAGGGAAAAACAAAUGUGUAAGUAAAUAUGCACAUCUUGACGGUACCUGAACAGAAAGCCACGGCUAACUACGUG